GGGUUGUGAGGUUAAGCGACUAAGCGUACACGGUGGAUGCCCUGGCAGUCAGAGGCGAUGAAGGACGUGCUAAUCUGCGAUAAGCGCCGGUAAGGUGAUAUGAACCGUUAUAACCGGCGAUUUCCGAAUGGGGAAACCCAGUGUGAUUCGUCACACUAUCAUUAACUGAAUCCAUAGGUUAAUGAGGCGAACCGGGGGAACUGAAACAUCUAAGUACCCCGAGGAAAAGAAAUCAACCGAGAUUCCCCCAGUAGCGGCGAGCGAACGGGGAGGAGCCCAGAGCCUGAAUCAGCAUGUGUGUUAGUGGAAGCGUCUGGAAAGGCGCGCGAUACAGGGUGACAGCCCCGUACACAAAAGCGCAUGUGCUGUGAGCUCGAUGAGUAGGGCGGGACACGUGGUAUCCUGUCUGAAUAUGGGGGGACCAUCCUCCAAGGCUAAAUACUCCUGACUGACCGAUAGUGAACCAGUACCGUGAGGGAAAGGCGAAAAGAACCCCGGCGAGGGGAGUGAAAAAGAACCUGAAACCGUGUACGUACAAGCAGUGGGAGCACAGGUUUACCUGUGUGACUGCGUACCUUUUGUAUAAUGGGUCAGCGACUUAUAUUCUGUAGCAAGGUUAACCGUAUAGGGGAGCCGCAGGGAAACC
rnacentral:rRNA from 1 species